rnacentral:rRNA from 1 species
CCUACGGGAGGCAGCAGUGAGGAAUAUUGGUCAAUGGGCGAGAGCCUGAACCAGCCAAGUAGCGUGCAGGAUGACGGCCCUAUGGGUUGUAAACUGCUUUUAUAGGGGAAUAAAGUGAGCCACGUGUGGUUUUUUGCAUGUACCCUAUGAAUAAGGACCGGCUAAUUCCGUGCCAGCAGC